rnacentral:rRNA from 1 species
UACGUAGGGGGCUAGCGUUGUCCGGAAUCAUUGGGCGUAAAGAGCGUGUAGGCGGCUUUGCAAGUCCGUUGUGAAAACUCGAGCUCAACCUCGAGACGCCGGUGGAAACUGCAAAGCUAGAGUCCGGAAGAGGAGAGUGGAAUUCCUGGUGUAGCGGUGAAAUGCGCAGAUAUCAGGAAGAACACCCGUGGCGAAGGCGGCUCUCUGGGACGGUACUGACGCUGAGACGCGAAAGCGUGGGGAGCGAACAGG